CGGUGUGUAGCUCAAUGGCAGAGCAGUUUUUACUAAAAUUUUGUAUAAGUAAGGUUUUUACCCUACAAGUUCUUGUCACUUUUGACAAUUAACAAAGUUUAGUAAAGAAAGGUUAGGAGUUCAAUUCUCUUCACAUCGACCA
rnacentral:tRNA from 1 species